rnacentral:antisense_RNA from 1 species
UUUGAUGGAGCCGAGCCAGAGCGGCUCCGAGCGGUCCUGGCCGUAGGUGGCGAGCAGGGCCUGGGCUUC